AACGAACGCUGGCGGCAUGCCUAACACAUGCAAGUCGAACGAGACCUUCGGGUCUAGUGGCGCCCGGGUGCGUCACGCGUGGGAACCUGCCCUUAGGUUCGGAAUAACUACCCGAAAGGGGUGCUAAUACCGGAUAAUGUCUUCGGACCAAAGAUUUAUCGCCUUUGGAUGGGCCCGCGUUGGAUUAGCUAGUUGGUAGGGUAAAAGCCUACCAAGGCGACGAUCCAUAGCUGGUCUGAGAGGAUGAUCAGCCACACUGAGACUGAGACACGGCCCAGACUCCUACGGGAGGCAGCAGUGGGGAAUAUUGGACAAUGGGCGAAAGCCUGAUCCAGCAAUGCCGCGUGAGUGAUGAAGGCCGUAGGGUUGUAAAGCGCUUUUACCCGGGAUGAUAAUGACAGUACCGGGAGAAUAAGCUCCGGCUAACUCCGUG
rnacentral:rRNA from 1 species